rnacentral:rRNA from 1 species
UACGGGGGGAGCAAGCGUUGUUCGGAUUUACUGGGCGUAAAGGGCGCGUAGGCGGCAAUUCAAGUCAGCUGUGAAAUCUCCGGGCUUAACUCGGAACGGUCAGCUGAUACUGCUUUGCUAGAGUGCAGAAGGGGCAAUCGGAAUUCUUGGUGUAGCGGUGAAAUGCGUAGAUAUCAAGAGGAACACCUGAGGUGAAGACGGGUUGCUGGGCCAACACUGACGCUGAGGCGCGAAAGCCAGGGGAGCAAACGGG